CGCCUCUUGCAAAACCAAAGAAUAAGAGGUCCCGCCUGCCCGGUGACUAUAUGUUUAACGGCCGCGGUAUUUUGACCGUGCGAAGGUAGCGUAAUCACUUGUCUUUUAAAUGGAGACCUGUAUGAAUGGCAUAACGAGGGCUUAACUGUCUCCUCUUUCCAGUCAAUGAAAUUGAUCUCCCCGUGCAGAAGCGGGGAUAAACACAUAAGACGAGAAGACCCUAUGGAGCUUUAGACACCAAGACAGAUCAUGUUAAGCACCCCCUGAUAAAGGCCUGAACUUGGUGACCCCCUGUCCUAAUGUCUUCGGUUGGGGCGACCAUGGGGCAACACAAAACCCCCAUGUGGAAUGGGAGAACAACCCCAGUAUAUUAUUUUCCCAUACUCCCAGAAGCAAGAGCCACAACUCUAGCUAACAGAACUUCUGACCUUUCAUGAUCCGGCUUUACGCCGAUCAACGGACCAAGUUACCCUAGGGAUAACAGCGCAAUCCCCUUUUAGAGCCCAUAUCGACAAGGGGGUUUACGACCUCGAUGUUGGAUCAGGACAUCCUAAUGGUGUAGCCGCUAUUAAGGGUUCGUUUGUUCAACGAUUAAAGUCCU
rnacentral:rRNA from 1 species